AUAGGCUGCACCUUCCCCAAAUACAUGAUUGUUAGUGGGAAGGCAACAAUCAGACUGCAUUUCCCACACUGACUUCUUUCACUGGAAACCCACAGAUCUUUUCCAGCUGUGGCAAACUGGAAGGGCUGAUAGGUAAGUGUCCUUUGGGAACUCGUGGGGUGUCCCUGGGCAGGCAGCAGUAGGCACUAAUGCUCAAGGAUGCACCUACCACAUUUAGGGUCAUGCUGCUGAGCCUCUGUUUGCUGGAAAUUAUAACUUAGUUACUUGCACAGAGUCCAUGGCACAACUACAAGGAUAUGAUCCUGCUAUCACAGAGUGAACUAGGCCUUUAAUUGAACUGCAAGCCCCAUUCUCACCUGUGCUUGGCUUUCCUCUCAUUUCAAGUAACUGCUCAGCUGAAGCAAGAAAGGGAGGAACCAGUUUCCUGUGCUCAUUAGAUCUAGAGAGCAGGAUGGCUUGGCUUGCUGUAUUACAAAGGCACCAAGGACAGGCUGAAAGGCUCUAAAGCCAUGAAAUGCUACUUGCAGUGACCCUGGCAAAAAGCAACUUUAUGCUUUUGUGAUUGAUGCUUGUGGAGAAGUGGGCUGGAGGCCUCUUUCUGUGGUGUGCUCAAUAGAGGUGAUGUGCAAACCUUGGGGAGGAUAGGAAAGAUUUGGGACCUCAAGGCUUCUCUUCUGAUACAAGCGGGGAAGAAUUCAAUAGUCCCUAGGAAGAGACCCCAAAAAGGCUUAUGGACUCCUGCAAGAGGCGGACUUAGCUGGAAAGCCCAAUGAUGUUAUCAGCCUGGAUGUGACCCUCAGCAGAAAACCUGGGACUGCUGCAUGCUUUAAAGAUCACUAAUGCUCUGGGAUUAGCGUUUCUGCCGACUCACUGCCUGGCUCUGACGUGUCCCCGCGAUCGGCUGCAGCUGCUCCCGUCACACAAGACACGCCGUGAACUCGUUAGCUGUUAUCGCCACUGCGGCUCUUAGCGUGCAAGCAAAGGAGACUGACCUCGGCAAUGGAGGCAUUUGCAUUUCUCCCAAGUCUUCUGGGUCUCUGUCGCAUAGGACUUGAGUUAAAGGAAUCGGGGCAAGGAGGAGUUGGCAGCGCCCCACGAUGUGAACUGAAGUUCUUUUAUUAAGGAAGGAAAAACUAGGUUUCCAGUGCAUAUUCUACACUCCAUCAAGUAUCCACACAGGGCAGACUGGGCUCUUUAGACAUGACUGACGGCCAAUCUAGGAGUGGAGCCCCAAAAGGCAGGCAGAUGGAAAACCUCCUCUGCACUGGCAACUCCUGCAGCAUAGCUGGUUCCAAAUGUAUCAACUUCAACCCUUCCUUUGGACCAAACCAGUGAGGCCAAGAGGGGGAUGCUGAUACAGGGGCAAAGCAGCAUCUCCAUAUCAACUGUCCAGGCUAUUACAGCCACACCACAUGGAGAGGAUGCUCCAUCCUUCCUGGCAGCAUGGACACAACACAGAAGGUGGCAGUUACAGACCAUAAGUUGUCACGUGAUCGGCGUAGAGCAGUGAUUCCCAACCUUUUUUUUUACCGUGGCCUGGCGGAAACGUGAUGGGGCAUGCCUGUCACCCUAGGGCUCCCCUGUCACCUGGUUUUAACUCCAGAGGCUCAUUUGGAAGCUGCUCAGCUUGGCAGACAGACAGGGGUCCAAGCAGGGGGCUUGUGCCACAACCCUGCAGCCAACCUGCUACAACCUGGUACCAGGCUGCGGCCUGUUGGUUGGGAACCUCUGGCAUAGAGGAGAGAGCCAUGGGUUACUUUUGAUGGUGGGGGGAAUCCUCGCAUCCCACUGGUCAGCUGCUGCCCACCAUAAUGCCAGGAAGCCCCCAGUCAGUUAGGUGCUGACCCACCGUAGUUGGACUGCCUCACUGGGUGCAUGGAGUGAGGCCAACAGCUUAAAAGCAGAUGGAAACCUCACACCUAGAGAAGGUAAAAGUGAUUGAAAAAAAUAAUCUUCACAGCGUCAGUUUUGCUCAGUAACAAGUUGGUAAAGCCUAUAGAAACACUCAUUGGAAAGUCAGAGUACAUCAUCUCACUUAGACUUCAGACUACCAUCAGUUCUGUGAACAUCAUCAGUGUUUAUGCACCAACACUCAACUCCAGCCCCAAGGAGAAGGAUAAAUGUUACAACACUCUGCACCAGGCUGUCAAAGAAUACCAUUAACCAAGUGACUAUUCCUCCUUGGAGACUUCAGUGCGAGGGUUGGUGUAAACAACCAACGGCCAGAUUGCUUAGGACGCUUUGGCAUCAGCAAGAUGAAUGAAAAUGGCCAACAACUUACUGAAUUCUGCAUCCAAACCAACUCUGCGUUACCAAUUCAUAUUUUUCUGGAAAAGAUCACCACAGUGUCAUGGUGACAUCCACGAUCAGGCCACUGGCGCCGACUAGAUCUUAUUAUUGUUAGGAGGAAAGACCUACCUUCAGUGCAGAAGACCGGCAUGUUCCACAAUGCCGAUUUGUGACACCAACCACUCCCUGAUCAUUUGCAAGUCAAGAUUACAGCCAAGCAACUACAUAGAGGAAAUCCUAGGAGCAAGCCCAAAAUCAAUACUGCUGACACCAAGAACCAGAGGAAGUGCUAAGAGUUUGUGAAGGUUUUCAAAACCUGCAUGUUUGGGAAGUCACUACCAGAAAAAGCAGAGGAAAUUUGGGAAGGCUUAAGAGCUGCAAUCUAUGAAAUGGCUAAAGCUGCAUUUGUUAAGUCUUAUCAGUUCCUUGCAUGACUACAUGAAAGCAGCUGUUCAGCUUGAUGGGUCCACUCUGGACAGCUUUGAGAUAAAAAGCAGAGUGAAACAAGGCUGUGUUCUUGCCCCAAUGCUCUUUGGCGUCGUCUUCUCCGUACUCCCGAGCAGUGUGUUUUUUUUUUUUUUAAAGACGCGGGAGGUGGAGCGUGCCUUCACAAGAUUGGAUGGGAAACUCUUCAACCUGUCACAACUCAAGGCAAAGGCUAAAGUUAGAAAGAUGCUUAUUGGGAAGCUUUUAUUAGCUGAUGAUGCUGCCCUUACAGCACAUGAUGAAGACCUACUACAGGAACUCAUGGAUCGCCUUUCAAGAGAUUGCUGUAUCUAUCAUAAUAAAGAAAACGGCUGUACUAGGACCGGGAGCUCCACAGGAUCCAUCGAUUGCCCUUGAUGAAAAUGAGCUAGUAGUAGUCCAAAAGUUCAGCUGCCUAGGUUCUCCAAUGACCCCCAACUUCUCACUGGAUGAAGAACUUAAUGUUCGCAUCAGGCUGCCACCACCUUCAGCAGACUAACUAAAAGAGCGUGGAAUAACUCGAAGCUUACCAUCAAAACCAAAAUGCUAGUAUACAAAGCUUUUAUACUCGGCACUCUCAUGUAUGGUGGAGAAAAACUUAUGCACAUCAAGAGAUGUGGUUAAACAGCUUCCACCUGUGCCGUUUACACUGCAUACUCUAUCUUGCCAUUUGAUGUUAAGUUACCAAUUCAGAGGUUCCUCAAAGGACAAAUUUACCAAGCAUGACAGCCCUGCUCAGGCAGAGAUGACUGAGCUGGCUAGGCCGUCUGAGUAGAUUGGAAGAUGGACAUAUAGCAUAUCCUUUGGUAUACGGGGAAUUAUCAGAGAGAACAAAUGCAAAAGGCCACCCCGAGCUUUGCUAUAAAGACACGUGCAAGUGAGAUAUGAAGGCAUUUGGAAUUGAUCCUGGCCAAUGGGAAACCUUGGCAAGCAAUUGGACAAGUGUUGUCACCAUCUCCACCACAACAGAGUCUAUGAUGGGAAUUGGCUCUAACAGCUUGAAGAGAAGAGUCUGUAGGAAGCAAGCAGCUCUCAAACCACACAACUGCAACAUACUGUCAUGACCCAAAAGGCAUGAUUGUGUGUGCGCUUCGGCACCAGAAUUAUCCCCGCCAAGUUGCA